AGCAUAUCAAUAAGCGGGAGGAAAAGAAACCAACAGGGAUUGCCUUAGUAGCGGCGAGUGAAGCGGCAAUAGCUCAAAUUUGAAAUCUGUCACCUUCGGUGUCCGAGUUGUAAUUUGAAGAAGGUAUCUUUGGUUUUGGCUCUUGUCUAUGUUCCUUGGAACAGGACGUCACAGAGGGUGAGAAUCCCGUGCGAUGAGAUGCCCAAUUCCAUGUAAAGUUCCUUCGACGAGUCGAGUUGUUUGGGAAUGCAGCUCUAAGUGGGUGGUAAAUUCCAUCUAAAGCUAAAUAUUGGCGAGAGACCGAUAGCGAACAAGUACUGUGAAGGAAAGAUGAAAAGAACUUUGAAAAGAGAGUGAAAAAGUACGUGAAAUUGUUGAAAGGGAAGGGCUUGAGAUCAGACUUGGAAUUUUCCAGCAAUGGAGCUUUCCGGGCCAGCAUCAGUUUGGAUGGCAGGAUAAUUGCGUAGAAAAGUAGCACUACUUCGGUGGUGUAUUAUAGUCUGCGUCGAUACUGCCUGUCUAGACUGAGGACUGCGUCUUUGACUAGGAUGCUGGCAUAAUGAUCUUAAGCCGCCCGUCUUGAAACACGGACCAAGGAGUCUAACGUCUAUGCGAGUGUUUGGGUGUAAAACCCGUACGCGUAAUGAAAGUGAACGUAGGUGAGAGCCUUAGGGUGCAUCAUCGACCGAUCCUGAUGUCUUCGGAUGGAUUUGAGUAAGAGCAUAGCUGUUGGGACCCGAAAGAUGGUGAACUAUGCCUGAAUAGGGUGAAGCCAGAGGAAACUCUGGUGGAGGCUCGUAGCGGUUCUGACGUGCAAAUCGAUCGUCGAAUUU
rnacentral:rRNA from 1 species